GUACGGAAUCGCUAGUAAUCGUGGAUCAGAAUGCCACGGUGAAUACGUUCCCGGGCCUUGUACACACCGCCCGUCACACCAUGGGAGUGAGUUGCAAAAGAAGUAGGUAGCUUAACCUUCGGGAGGGCGCUUACCACUUUGUGAUUCAUGACUGGGGUGAAGUCGUAACAAGGUAACCGUAGGGGAACCUGCGGUUGGAUCACCUCCUUACCUUAAAGAAGC
rnacentral:rRNA from 1 species